GGGCCAGACUCCUACGGGAGGCAGCAGUGGGGAAUAUUGCACGAUGGGGGAAACCCUGAUGCAGCAACGCCGCGUGAGUGAAGAAGUAUUUCGGUAUGUAAAGCUCUAUCAGCAGGGAAGAAGAUGACGGUACCUGAUUAAGAAGCCCCGGCUAACUACGUGCCAGCAGCCGCGGUAAUACGUAGGGGGCAAGCGUUAUCCGGAUUUACUGGGUGUAAAGGGAGCGUAGACGGCAGUGCAAGUCUGAAGUGAAAGCCCCGGGCUUAACCCGGGAAUUGCUUUGGAAACUGUACGGCUGGAGUGCUGGAGAGGUAAGCGGAAUUCCUAGUGUAGCGGUGAAAUGCGUAGAUAUUAGGAGGAGCACCAGUGGCGAAGGCGGCUUACUGGACAGUAACUGACGUUGAGGCUCGAAAGCGUGGGGAGCAAACAGGAUUAGAUACCCCAGUAC
rnacentral:rRNA from 1 species